rnacentral:rRNA from 1 species
AUUGAACGCUGGCGGCAGGCCUAACACAUGCAAGUCGAGCGAGCGGCGGACGGGUGAGUAAUGUCUGGGGACUGCCCGAUGGAGGGGGAUAACUACUGGAAACGGUAGCUAAUACCGCAUACCAUCAGAUUGCCCAGAUGGGAUGAGCUAGUAGGUGAGGUAAUGGCUCACCUAGGCGACGAUCCCUAGAUGGUCUGAGAGGAUGACCAGCCACACGGAGACGUAGACACGGCCCAGACUCCUACGGAGGCAGCAGUGGGGAAUAUUGCACAAUGGGCGCAAGCCUGAUGCAGCCAUGCCGCGUGUAUGAAGAAGGCCUUAGGGUUGUAAAGUACUUUCAGUCGGGAGGCGUUACCGACAGAAGAAGCACCGGCUAACUCCGUGCCAGCAGCCGCGGUAAUUC